rnacentral:lncRNA from 1 species
ACCUGAAGGACAUGGAGCAGAGUAACUCAUAGCAAUUUCAUUGACAUCUACAGGAGGACUUGGCACCCUGACAAAUGCCCCAUGCUCCUGGGACAGCCUUUCGAAGCUGUUAAAAAGCACAGCCCCACAUUUGAUGAAGUAAGGCUGCCAGGUUGUCAGAUAAGAGUGCCAAAACCUCAGAGAAGUGGCUCACUGGUAAAGAUAUACUCAAUGAGGCUGAGCUGAUGAUGCUCUAUUACAAACUGACAAGGGUGUGCUGGUGAAGGUGUAUUUGGGAGAUGUUCAUGGGCAAUGGUCCAUAAAAAGGACUAGAUAAGACAUGUGCACAAUGGCAGUGAGGACAGUGGCAGCAAUGGAAAAAAAAGAAAUGGUAGAAGAAAGCUGGUAACUAAUUAUCAGCAACUAAGAAUAUGUAGUACCAUCAAAAAGGAGAGGCAGGAUAAAACUACUUAAGCAAGACACUACCAGGAACUCUGGCUUAAUUUAUAGAAACCAAAGGGAACCAAAUAUGAAUAUCACGAAGCUAAAGAAAUGUUUACUCCCCCAAAGCCCUUGCCCUAUAUUUCCAGAGUGAGCAACUUUCACAUCUACAACCUGGUAACUAAGUUGCAGAGAAUGAUCCACAGUUUGGAACACUGAGCCCCAGACCACCCAACGAAGGCACUGAGAGGAGCCAGAGGCCUGGGACCCACACAUCUAGGGCUGCUUAUGUUCUCACAGUUUAAGGGUGGAGUUUUUCCCCCCAAUAAGUGAGAGCCUGCAUCCAGCUAAGAGUGCAAAUGACAUUGCCGGUAGGGCUGUGGACCAACACCAAAUGAUUGCCAUGCGGGCGACCCAGACAUUUUAUUCUCUGCCCAUUCUCUUGGUGUGGGUGUAGCAGUUCU